rnacentral:rRNA from 1 species
ACCUUUUGUAUAAUGGGUCAGCGACUUAUAUUCUGUAGCAAGGUUAACCGAAUAGGGGAGCCGAAGGGAAACCGAGUCUUAACUGGGCGUUAAGUUGCAGGGUAUAGACCCGAAACCCGGUGAUCUAGCCAUGGGCAGGUUGAAGGUUGGGUAACACUAACUGGAGGACCGAACCGACUAAUGUUGAAAAAUUAGCGGAUGACUUGUGGCUGGGGGUGAAAGGCCAAUCAAACCGGGAGAUAGCUGGUUCUCCCCGAAAGCUAUUUAGGUAGCGCCUCGUGAAUUCAUCUCCGGGGGUAGAGCACUGUUUCGGCAAGGGGGUCAUCCCGACUUACCAACCCGAUGCAAACUGCGAAUACCGGAGAAUGUUAUCACGGGAGACACACGGCGGGUGCUAACGUCCGUCGUGAAGAGGGAAACAACCCAGACCGCCAGCUAAGGUCCCAAAGUCAUGGUUAAGUGGGAAACGAUGUGGGAAGGCCCAGACAGCCAGGAUGUUGGCUUAGAAGCAGCCAUCAUUUAAAGAAAGCGUAAUAGCUCACUGGUCGAGUCGGCCUGCGCGGAAGAUGUAACGGGGCUAAACCAUGCACCGAAGCUGCGGCAGCGACGCUUAUGCGUUGUUGGGUAGGGGAGCGUUCUGUAAGCCUGUGAAGGUGUACUGUGAGGUAUGCUGGAGGUAUCAGAAGUGCGAAUGCUGACAUAAGUAACGAUAAAGCGGGUGAAAAGCCCGCUCGCCGGAAGACCAAGGGUUCCUGUCCAACGUUAAUCGGGGCAGGGUGAGUCGACCCCUAAGGCGAGGCCGAAAGGCGUAGUCGAUGGGAAACAGGUUAAUAUUCCUGUACUUGGUGUUACUGCGAAGGGGGGACGGAGAAGGCUAUGUUGGCCGGGCGACGGUUGUCCCGGUUUAAGCGUGUAGGCUGGUUUUCCAGGCAAAUCCGGAAAAUCAAGGCCGAGGCGUGAUGACGAGGCACUACGGUGCUGAAGCAACA